AGAGUUUGAUCCUGGCUCAGAACGUACGCUGGCGGCACGCCUAAUACAUGCAAGUCGAACGAAGUAGCAAUACUUAGUGGCAGACGGGUGAGUAACAUGUGGGUAUCUUCCCUUUGGUGAGGAAUAACACGAGGAAACUUGUGCUAAUACCUCAUAAGUCUUUACGGAGAAAGCUUUAUGCGCCAUUGGAUGAGCCCGCACUUGAUUAGUUUGUUGGUGGGGUAAUGGCCUACCAAGACUGUGAUCAAUAGCUGAUUUGAGAGGAUGAUCAGCCACAUUGGGACUGAGACACGGCCCAAACUCCUACGGGAGGCAGCAGUAGGGAAUCUUGCACAAUGGAGGAAACUCUGAUGCAGCGAUGCCGCGUGAGUGAAGAAGGCCUUUGGGUUGUAAAGCUCUUUCGUCGGGGAAGAAAAUGACUGUACCCGAAUAAGAAGGUCCGGCUAACUUCGUGCCAGCAGCCGCGGUAAUACGAAGGGACCUAGCGUAGUUCGGAAUUACUGGGCUUAAAGAGUUCGUAGGUGGUUAAAAUAGUUGGUGGUGAAAUCCCAGAGCUUAACUCUGGAACUGCCAUCAAAACUUUUUAGCUAGAGUAUGGUAGAGGAAAGCAGAAUUUCUAGUGUAGAGGUGAAAUUCGUAGAUAUUAGAAAGAAUACCAAUUGCGAAGGCAGCUUUCUGGAUCAUUACUGACACUGAGGAACGAAAGCAUGGGUAGCGAAGAGGAUUAGAUACCCUCGUAGUCCAUGCCGUAAACGAUGUGUGUUAGACGUUGGAAAUUUAUUUUCAGUGUCGCAGCGAAAGCGAUAAACACACCGCCUGGGGAGUACGACCGCAAGGUUAAAACUCAAAUGAAUUGACGGGGACCCGCACAAGUAGUGGAGCAUGUGGUUUAAUUCGAAGAUACGCGCAGAACCUUACCAACACUUGACAUGUUCGUCGCGACUCUAAGAGAUUAGAGUUUUCGGUUCGGCCGGACGAAACACAGGUGCUGCAUGGCUGUCGUCAGCUCGUGUCGUGAGAUGUUGGGUUAAGUCCCGCAACGAGCGCAACCCUCACUUUUAGUUGCCAUCAUUAAGUUGGGCACUCUGAAAGAACUGCCAGUGAUAAGCUGGAGGAAGGUGGGGAUGACGUCAAGUCCUCAUGGCCCUUACGUGUUGGGCUACACACGUGCUACAAUGGCAUCUACAACAGGAAGCAAAACGGCAACGUUAAGCAAAUCCCGAAAAGAUGCCUCAGUUCGGAUUGCACUCUGCAACUCGAGUGCAUGAAGCUGGAAUUACUAGUAAUCGCGGAUCAGCGCGCCGCGGUGAAUACGUUCCCGGGUCUUGUACACACCGCCCGUCACACCAUGGGAGUUGGUUCUACCUUAAGGCAAAGUUUAAAACCUUUGACCACGGUAUAGUCAGCGACUGGGGUGAAGUCGUAACAAGGUAACC
rnacentral:rRNA from 1 species